UACGGGGGGGGCAAGCGUUGUUCGGAAUUACUGGGCGUUAAAGGGCUCGUAGGCGGCCAACUAAGUCAUACGUGAAAUCCCUCGGCUUAACCGGGGAACUGCGUCUGAUACUGGAUGGCUUGAGUUCGGGAGAGGGAUGCGGAAUUCCAGGUGUAGCGGUGAAAUGCGUAGAUAAUCGUGGAGGAACACCGGUGGCGAAAGGGCACGGCCUGCCGUAGG
rnacentral:rRNA from 1 species